rnacentral:rRNA from 1 species
UACGAAGGGGGCUAGCGUUGCUCGGAAUCACUGGGCGUAAAGGGUGCGUAGGCGGGUUUUUAAGUCAGAGGUGAAAUCCUGGAGCUCAACUCCAGAACUGCCUUUGAUACUGGAAGUCUUGAGUAUGGGAGAGGUGAGUGGAACUGCGAGUGUAGAGGUGAAAUUCGUAGAUAUUCGCAAGAACACCAGUGGCGAAGGCGGCUCACUGGCCCGGUACUGACGCUGAGGUGCGAAAGCGUGGGGAGCAAACAGG